rnacentral:misc_RNA from 1 species
GUCUCGCCCAGUGGAAUCAAUCGUGAAAGAGGUCGCGGAACUUUGGAAAGAGGGAGUCAAAGAGGUUACGCUUCUCGGCCAAAAUGUAAAUAGCUAUAAUGAUACAUCUGGAGUUGAAAAUCCGGAUGAACCAGCAGUCAGUUGGGAACUUAGUGAUGGAUUCUCCAGCAUGUUUAAAGUAAAACAUGUGGGUCUACGGUUUGCUGAUCUCCUAGAUAGACUUGCCAUAGAAUUUCCUGAAAUGCGGUUCAGAUACACUUCCCCACAUCCUAAAGAUUUUCCAGAUGAUUUGUUGUAUGUAAUGCGGGACAGGUACAAUAUCUGCAAAAGCAUUCAUUUGCCAGCACAAUCAGGC